rnacentral:lncRNA from 1 species
CGGGACACCCGGUGGCGGCAGUGGCUGCGGGUUUGGCCCCGGCGGUGGUAAUGGCAGCGGUGGUGCGUUUGGACCCGGCGGUGGCAGUGGCAGAGGCUGCGGUAACGGCAGCGGCGGUGCGUUUGGACCCGGCAGUGGUUGCGGCAGAGGCUGCGGUAAUGGUUGUGGCUGCGUGUUUGGGUCCGGUUGGGGUUGUGGAAGAGGCUGCGGUAAUGGUUGUGGCUGCGGGUUUGGGUCCGGCUGUGGUUGGGGUAAUGGCUGUGGCUGUGGGUUUGGGUCUGGGUUAGGCAAAGGUUGUGGGUUUGGGUCUGGGUUAGGUAAAGGUUGUGGGUUUGGGUCAGGUUGUGGGUUCGGAAUCGGAAGUGGCACCGGUUGUGGGCCGGGUUGAGGGCGUGGGUUUGGCAGCGGCAGCGGCUGUGGCCCGGGCACUUGCUGCAACUUCCGCUGCCGCGCAUGCACGCUGCCUGCACCGUCC